rnacentral:ncRNA from 1 species
UCACUUUUUCUAUCCUUGGAGCAACGGGUCUAAUCACCUUACCGAGACUAUCCAAGUAAAAUACGUCUCUCAUACCUCUGGUGGAGGGUGCCAGAGGAAUACUUCAUACA